CUUGUUUGGGAUUACUUCUAUACGACAGUAGGUGUGAGCUUUGGGACAUACAAUCUUGCCAUAGUCUCACAGCUUCAGGAAAUCUUUGAUGCAGAUUGGAACUCUCCUUACACAGUUCCAGUUGAACCAUUAGAUGGAGCCUAGGUUUAUUCAAGCUGAUGAACAGUGAGUUCAUCUAAGAUGAC